rnacentral:rRNA from 1 species
GAGUUUGAUCAUGGCUCAGAUUGAACGCUGGCGGCAUGCCUUACACAUGCAAGUCGAACGGCAGCACGGGAGCUUGCUCCUGGUGGCGAGUGGCGAACGGGUGAGUAAUGCAUCGGAACGUAUCCUGGAGUGGGGGAUAACGUAGCGAAAGUUACGCUAAUACCGCAUAUUCUGUGAGCAGGAAAGCGGGGGACCCUCGGGCCUCGCGCUCUUGGAGCGGCCGAUGUCGGAUUAGCUAGUUGGUGAGGUAAAGGCUCACCAAGGCGACGAUCCGUAGCAGGUCUGAGAGGAUGAUCUGCCACACUGGAACUGAGACACGGUCCAGACUCCUACGGGAGGCAGCAGUGGGGAAUUUUGGACAAUGGGGGCAACCCUGAUCCAGCCAUGCCGCGUGAGUGAAGAAGGCCUCGGUUGUAAGUAC